GGCCGACUAGCUCAGCUGGUUAGAGCGUCGUGCUAAUAUGUUCCCAUGCGUGCGGACAUGUUGACGCGAAGGUCUUGGGUUCGAUCCCCACGUUGGCCA